GGGGGGGGGAGAGAGAGAGAGAGAGAGAGAGAGAGAGAGAGAGAGAGAGAGAGAGAGAGAGAGAGAGAGAGAGAGAAAUAGCCCUGCUUUGAAGUUCCCACAUAAUUACUGUAAAGAUCUGUGAAAAUACAGAGCCAGGAGCCAGCGCUUUGCUCAAAUCUGGAGAUGCAAAGGCCGUGCGCAGUCCAGGAAGACUCUCAGAGCGGCGCUACUUCCAGAAAAAUGCAGCCAAGGUAGAUGGGAGGUGUGUGUUUCCACCCCUGUGUGUCUGCAGGAGGCAGUAAGAGGAAGAAGAGCAAGGAGAAGAAACUGGAGAGGGGAAAGAGAUCCAGAGAAAAGGAAAACACUUACUGGGGGAGGGGAAGGUGCUGGUACUAUUUACAAAGACUGGCGCAGAAACUAAACACUGCAGAUACGAUACGGAAGGUUGGGGGUCGGGGGUGGCAGGUUCUGGUCUCCGCUUCUUUGUAAGAAUACAAGCUAGGGACAUCCGAGGAGAAAAUGGUUGCAGCCCUGGAGAUUUGUUCUCUCUGACCGAUCGGCCCAGCUGCAGCGGCUGGGAAAGUUCUUGAUGUCACAGUGCCCCCUGGAGUAGCACCUGGAAGGGACCCCAAGGGCCACCCUGCGGCUCCUUCCCAUCGUCUUUGUGCUUCUUACUGUGGAAGGAGGAGGCUUUAGAGGGUCUCCCACUGGCCAGGCCGGGGGACAGACAGACGGGGACAGCUUUGAGAAGUAACUUCCGAUUUCUUUCAGCUCCUUUGGGAGAACGGGAAAGGAGGGGACAAGCAAUUUUCUCCCCCCCCCCAUCCCUUUAAUCCUAUUUUAGUUGAGAUCUGACUUGGAAAUUUCUAAAAAGACUUUAAUCUCCUGUCCUCCAGAUUGCUAACAGAGGGUGAUCGAAUGAGCGUGUGCUGUGCGAGUGGGAGAAGGUGUGUGGGCGUUGCUUAUUUACGAAGCUUCCCACUCUGCUUCCACCGGCGAGAACCCUGACGGGUUCAUUAAGCGCUGUCCAUGAAUUGAAACCUUUGACAUUUUUCUUCAAUUGUUUGAUCUCCCAGGUAAAGGGGAAAAAAAUGUACUCAAUCAUUAAAACUCAUAGGGGGAGAAAAAAACAUUAAAUUCGCAGGCAGAUCUGGCCGCCCCACAGUGACUGUGGAUAGAUAGCUUAGGUCAGCUGUAUCAAUUCCCCAAAGUUCUUAAUAAAGCAAAUUACAGUUGGCGACGAAGGAAAGGGGUUAGGGGAGGGUGUGAACAGUGUAAACCAGAGGAAGAACCGUUUCCAUAAAUAUUUUCAAGAUUAUAAAAAAGCUACUUGAGGACAGAGUGUGUUGAGCAGGGUCUCAGAGUUAGGGCUCGUUGAAGCCAUUAAGUAUUUAUUUUUUUCUGAUGAAUCAGUCCACGGCUGUGUAGCUCUGAUGUGAUCUGAAAUGUCAUCUUGGAGGGUCCUGGUGAUUAGGCCUUUUCUUUCUUCCUUUUUAUCCAUUUCUCUCAUUAAAGGGCCGGUUUUCCUGUUAUGUGUUUCGAACUUUGUUCUGAUCUGAAAUUCCAUCCACCCUGUGUAUGGUCCCCCCCACCCCCAGUACCCCCCAAGAAGGAGUACAUUCAAGGCUGAUUUGAGAAAAAUAACAAAUCCGGUUGUCUCUCUCUCUCUCUCUCUCUCUCUCUCUCUCUCUCUCUCUCUCUCAACCGCUUUUGAUUUUACUGAGCUACGAAAUGCAGAAAUCAUUUCUCUGACGUUGAGAACGUCCCACUUUAAAUCACAAGGUACGUCAGACAUAACUGCCUGCAUUUAAAGCAUUCUGUAAUUAUAGGAAGAAAGAAAUAGUGUGUGUUUGGGGGGGGCAGAAUGGCUUUUAAAGAAACAGUGCUGAACGUAAUUGACUUGCAAGCCAUGUCUGUCUUUUAUAAAGUUCAUAAUUUCCCAGUCAAUUCUUUUAAGUUAAUAACAUCUUAAACGUAAAAAAAAAAAAAAAAAAAAAAAGCAUUAAAGGCACCUCCUCUUGUUUGCCACCAAGCACAACACACAGAGAGGAAAAAGUAUUUUUUCUUAAUGCAUUUUUUUUUAAGACCUCAGAGACGGAAAUACUUCUCAGGGAAAUGUCAAACUCGAAUAUCUACAUUUUAUCUACAUGAAAUAAUAAAUCAAGAUCGGGUUUUUUUCCCCCAUCUGACCAAAAAAAGAAAAAACAAUAAAGUGGGUGUAAGACAUUGUUUUAUGUCCCCCCCCCAGACAACCUUCUUUUUUUAGCUCGCAAAAAAAAAAAAUAGUAAUAACAGAAGAUACUCUGUUGAGAAAGAUAACACGUACUUUCUCAAAACUUGGUGGGAAAAGUAUUAAUUUUCCUCUGGGUAAAGGAAAUUAGAUAUAUGUUUUAGGGGGGAAAAAACAUAUACUAUGUCAGGGUGAUAUGAUCCAACAAAAACCCAGGAAAUUCAAAACCAGGCUGAUGCCAGGCAAGGGCUGCCGUACCACUGUCCCUGCCGACAACAGAUUUAGGGGUAUGGAGUGCCCGGGUGAAACUCAGGCUUCCUGGCUCUCUGUCUAAACAGAAAAGUGUUAUUUCAACAUCAGCCUUAUCCCACAGGCCGGGCCCUGGCUGUCUCCACUCUAUGCCCUUCCCCACCUGAAACGUACACUUAACCCCAAGGACCCGUGGACCCUGGAGACAAUCCCCACCUAUUUUAUAAUAAGAAGGAUUUUGAAGGAGAAAGCUAUAUAAUAGAAUCGUGCAGGCUUUGGUUUGGUUUUCUUUGAGGAAAAGCCCAGGAGAGAAUCAGAGAGAAUACAGAGUUGGGGAGCUGUGGCUCACGGGGGUAAACAGACGCGCUGGUGGAGUAACCCCGGCUGUGCUCAGGUGUCUGUGGACUGUCAUGAAGUCACACCCUCCUAAAAUGUUUCUGUCCCAAAUAUCAAAGUGUUAAGGACCCAGGGCACCACCAGGAGCCCCUUCCAGAAGGUUCCAGUUCUGAGCCAUUUAUGGAUUCCAGAUCAUUAAUUUACUACGGUGUUGUUAAUUACCACGGAGUGGUAGAAAACUGAACUUACGGGUUUUGCGGAUGAGGUUUCUGUGCGGCUGAUUGUUGGGAGCUUGGGGGACUAACGGCUUUCAGUUUUACCGCAUCCAAAGAUUUUAAGAAUUUGGGAUGUGGGAAGAAGCGGGCAGUCUCUGCGGGUAAAUGCUUUCCACAGGUUACAACAGUUAGUAAUUUGAAAUGAACCCUGAAGAUUUCUCUUCACAUACUCUGGAUCCUUUUAGGGUCCUGGCCAAAAGGAAAAAAAGGAAGAAAAAAAAAGAAGGAAAGAGAAGGAAGGAAGGAAGGAAGGAAAGAAAGAAAGAAAAAAGAAAGGAAGGAAGGAAGAGAGAGAGAGAGUUUUAAAAAAGAUUCUUUAAUGUAUCUAAUUUGGAUUCCAUUGAAUGCUUUUUACCCUGAUGUUAAGAUAUUUUGGCGAUUUUAAUUCCCUGACCCCCUCUGUAUGAAAAAAAAAAAAACUCUUUCUUGAAGAGAUUUAAAAAGGGGGAAGAGGAAAAAUCCUUUUUAAAAGGCUUAGGGGAAAGCGAGAGAGAGGCUUUCUUUCUCAGAAGCUCAGCUGCGGAAGCUGAAGGCCAUUUUAGGCACGGCAGAAACUCAUUUACCUGAAUCGCUCUGUCACCCCGUGGCCCUCAGCCAGUAAACGGUUCCGUCUACUGCCAAAUAAAACCAAAUCAAAAGCAUGUUUGGGAUUGGGGUGCCAGAAAACGUCCCCCCAAAAUGAAAAGCCAGAUUUCCACGAUGUUUGCUUUGGUUUCUCUGCAGGAGGGUUUCCAGAGAGGGGAUCUGGAUUCCACAGCCUUUCUGGGUAUGGCCGUUCCUGUAGAGGCCGCAGAGGACUCUGUUCUCACCCAUGAGAAAAACUGUCCCUUCAGUCUUUGUGCAAAGUGAAAGAGAAAGUGACCGUCAACGAAGUCCCUGUGACACUCAAGAGCUUCUUGUGCUGCGAGUAGCUACAUCCAACGAGAAAAUGAGAAACCUAAAGAGAUGAGAGCCAGGUCAGUUUCUAAGUCGAUUUAUCCCUUUUUUGGAAAUCCCUUUGGAAAUACCUUAGGUGACCGUGUAACAGAUUGCCUUCGGUGACGGGAUCCCUGGGGUGGCCCUGCUUUGUAAGCACAUAAGAGGUAGGACCCGACUUUCUGUGGAAGACUCCAUCACACAAGGAGUCCACUCAGAGGCAGACAAAAAGGUAAGACAGAGGCUGGGGAAUGGAGCCCCGAGAUAUCCCUAGAAGGGGAGGGGAGGGAAGAGGACAGACUGGCUGGGAGGAUUGAGCCUGAAAACACAGGAACUAGCCCUGCCAUCUCCUUCACAGGGACUGCCCUGUCUCCAGAAGUCCGGCCCAGUGAACACUUUAUGACCAUGAACCCGGGCUGUAUUUUUCUUUUUAAGUUUUGUUCUUAAGAUUACUUGCUUUUUGCUGUGGUGAAUAUUUUAAAAAGGCGGAACCUUUUAUCCUAGGGCCACAUGGCACUGCAGGGUAUCUUUAUCUCGUGGCUACACACUGAUCCCAAGUACUUUCUGACCCAGGCGGUCCACGGUUCCAGCAUGGCACCUUGCCAUGCUGCUCUCUAGAGUUAGCUUUGGCACGGGAGGGCCAUAUUGAACUAACCUAAAAUCAGGGCUCUAGGAGUCCAGCAGAGGCUGGCCUAUGGCGGCUCCCUGCCCCGGAUUCUGCCCACACUCCCAGCAACCACCCUCUGGUAGUUAAGGUAUAAACUCCCAACUACCCGGUGAAAUCAGGACUCAAUAAACUGUAAUUUAGCAAUCAGAGUUAUGUGUUAAAUUUUCAAUCCACAAUACAUCCACACCAUAAACUCACAACCAAUUGAUAAAGAUAUAAACCGCCCUCCUAGGUAAGAUAAAUUGACCUAUAGAAAUCCAUCCCUUAAGGAAUAUUCAUAACCACCUAGGGCCAUUCAAGACCACCAGAUCUGGGUUGACCUUCCCCUUCUCUCCCAUACAAAAACGUUGUCCCCACCUUACUUUUUACUGUCCAUUCAUUGGCCUUGACCUAACUUGUGCCAGCCCUCACCUGCAUAUAGACAUCAACCUACACUUUUCUUUUGUGCGCAUGGGUGCUUUGUCUGCAUUUGUGUCUGUGCAUCAUGUGUGCCCGGUACUCAUUCCCCUGGAACUGAAGUUAGGGAUGGCUGUGAGCCACCCUGUGGGUGCUGGAAACCAAGCAGGGUCUUCUGCAAGAUGGGUUGGUCCUCUUACUAACUCAGGGAAUCAUGUCUACCCAAAGCCUGCUGUUGAAACUACCCGGCCCUCGUUCUUCACUGCGACGGACCUAGCAGACUAAGCCAGAGAGGGUGUGUUCAAUAAAAAUAAAAUCAAGCUGUAAAACGGGAGAGCCGUGCCACAGAAUCACUUCCAGUGCAAAAGAGUGCAGGGCGUGUGCCGGAGGACACGCGCGUCCAUGGAGAAAGAUAAGCGGAAUGUUCUAGACCCAAGUACUCCCAUCAGUGGGGGUGGAGGGUGUCAGAAGGAGAUGGCUGUGCCUUGCUGCUCGUUUCUUCCGUCUGGUACAGCAUUUCUAGAGGCUAUAACUCUGAGAGACUAACAGCAGGCACUGCCUACUCAUCCACAAUGGCGUCCGCCCCUGUGCUGGGGGCCUCGUGCCUUAUCUGUAAGACGUACUCGGUCUCCACAACCACCCAGCAUAUAGGAACCAUCCCCUCUGUUUUCCAGAAGAAGAAAUGGAGGUACGGAGGGGAGUGGGGGAGGUUAAGCAAUACGUCCAAGGGUCACCAAGCAAACAGUGGCCCAACCAGGUGUUUAGAGCAAGUGAUGGGCUUUUCUGGCCCUGACCUUGAACUCCUAGCCCUGCGCAGAUGCCUGCUAAAUCCUUUUGAUUUAGUGUGAGGUUUUUACGGGCACGCCUGAGUACAGAUGUACACAGACAGACAGACACCACACUGGAUCACACAUUGAUGGUUCUUCAUGGUGAGCUAAGUACUGUUGUCUUUCCCGCCUAGGAUGUACGAUUUAAUUGAACUAAAGACGCCAUCCCUAGCAGGGUGACCCCUACCAUAUUAAAUACACGGAGACAAAUCUCAAUUUCUCCACUCCCCUAUGCCCCGGGAGCUGACCCCUACGCCGUUGGAUGAGGGCAGGGUAAGCGUCCCAUUCAUAUUUUAUAAGUUUGUUUAAUGGAGCCUGAUUUUUUUGGGUUAUGUAUUUUUAAAGACCACACGGCUUAGAUUGAUGGAGCUGCUACUUCUGACAAACCAGGGAGCUGGAGGCAGCCCAGCCCUUCUGGGGUCAAGAGGGACAAUGGGAAGGAGACACGGAUGGACGGAGCUACCUCAAUGCCUGCAGAGUGGAACUGGUACAAUAAAUUAUGUCUUCCCCUA